rnacentral:rRNA from 1 species
CCUGGCUUAGAUUGAACGCUGGCGGCAGGCCUAACACAUGCAAGUCGAACGGUAACAGGAGAAGCUUGCUCUUGCUGACGAGUGGCGGACGGGUGAGUAAUGUCUGGGAAACUGCCUGAUGGAGGGGGGAUAACUACUGGAAACGGUAGCUAAUACCGCAUAACGUCGCAAGACCAAAGAGGGGGACCUUCGGGCCUCUUGCCAUCGGAUGUGCCCAGAUGGGAUUAGCUUGUUGGUGGGGUAACGGCUCACCAAGGCGGCGAUCCCUAGCUGGUCUGAGAGGAUGACCCAGCCACACUGGAACUGAGACACGGUCCAGACUCCUACGGGAGGCAGCAGUGGGGAAUAUUGCACAAUGGGCGCAAGCCUGAUGCAGCCAUGCCGCGUGUAUGAAGAAGGCCUUCGGGUUGUAAAGUACUUUCAGCGGGGAGGAAGGGAGUAAAGUUAAUACCUUUGCUCAUUGACGUUACCCGCAGAAGAAGCACCGGCUAACUCCGUGCCAGCCGCAGC